rnacentral:rRNA from 1 species
ACGAACGCUGGCGGCGUGCUUAACACCUGCCAGUCGAACGGAAAGGCCCUGCUUUUGUGGGGUUCUCGAGUGGCGAACGGGUGAGUAACACGUGAGUAACCUGCCCUUGACUUUGGGAUAACUUCAGGAAACUGGGGCUAAUACCGGAUAGGAGCUCCUGCUGCAUGGUGGGGGUUGGAAAGUUUCGGCGGUUGGGGAUGGACUCGCGGCUUAUCAGCUUGUUGGUGGGGUAGUGGCUUACCAAGGCUUUGACGGGUAGCCGGCCUGAGAGGGUGACCGGCCACAUUGGGACUGAGAUACGGCCCAGACUCCUACGGGAGGCAGCAGUGGGGAAUAUUGCACAAUGGGCGGAAGCCUGAUGCAGCAACGCCGCGUGCGGGAUGACGGCCUUCGGGUUGUAAACCGCUUUCGCCUGUGACGAAGCGUGAGUGACGGUAAUGGGUAAAGAAGCACCGGCUAACUACGUG